rnacentral:ribozyme from 1 species
GAAGUAAGAAAAAUGUCUCUCCCUCAAAAAUAAAAGGCAUUUGUGCUUGUGCUGAGGUUUUUUUUUUGUUUGUUUUUUGUGUUUUUUUUUUUUGUUUU